UCCACUCAAAAGUCUCAGAGUUUCGUUCAGUUUUGCUCUCUCUCUCUCUCUCUCACUCAUACAGGCGCACUUUCACUCCAAGUGGAAUCUGGCAACGCCUCUACUCUGCGCUGCAGCCUUCUCGCUCUGCCUUUGUAGCUGCAUCUCUCUCUUGCUUUCAGUCGCCCUUCCUGUCUCUAUCGCGUGGCUGUUUUUCCUACCUUAUCAUUAACUGUAUCGGAAUUUGUGCUGUUUUCUUAUAAAAAUAUACAAAAAAUGGUUAGAAAAAAUUGUAAGAGUAUUUGCUUUUUAUUAACACCGCUCGAUGUCUCUAGAUGUCUCUCUCUGGCCCCCACUCGGAGUCUAAUUCAAUUGGAUAGAUGACAUGUCCCGCUCCCGUACGCGCAUUUUCCAUGAGUUAUAUGUGGGGUCCAUGCUCCUCUCUCUGCAACAUCCUGCAGGCGUCUGCUCCUCCGUUGCCUGUGAACCUAAUCUCGUGGUUCUCGGCACCUCUUGUUGGUGCCUCGUAUGUUACUCAGAUCCUCUCUCUGUCUCCCACCAGCCCCAAACAGAACCGACAGCAGCAGUGCCACCCAUUACAUUGUUGUGUGCGGCAGCGGCCAGAGACCAGAGACCAGAGACUGCUCGGAGUUCGCGCAGUCGGGCGGCACCUCCAACCCCUUUGGGUUAAAUACUGACAACCCCAUUUGAGAGCCUUUUUGCACUCGCUGCCACUGCCACAGCCUCUGCCACACGGCCUCACCUCCUUUACACCAUUCUUCUGUCCUCCUGCUCCUCUUAGCUGCUCUCCGCAUAAUGUUGGCCAUUUUUUUUUAGCCCUGUUCGGUUGAUGCUGCUGCUUUGGACAGUUCAUUGAAAGUAGGUGGCCCGAAGGGGAAUACUGCUCGGAGGGGGUUGGGCAGCAUGGGUGGGGGGCGGAGAUGUGGUGAGAAUCUGUAAAAGUUUUAGAUGGAACUGUGGCGUCUGGGUCCGUAAGGUUUGUGUGAAUAUUUUCAUAAAAAUUCGGAAUUUAUAAUUUUAAUUCAUUUUAAUCGAUGUAAAUGUCAAGUAGAAUUUUUAAAUUUCUUUUUACAUAAUAAAUAUAUUGUUCAUAAAUAAAUUGAAUGAAAAUCAGGGUGUCCCUUUGAGGAGUUAAAGCUCUGUUAGGAUUUAUUUCUACUUACUUUCUCCACUUGAAAUACUCAUUUGUUUUCCAUUUUCCAAUUUUCAGUUCACUCUCGAAAAUGCCACGCAUUUAACAGCUUUUUCAGUUGUCUGAAACAUGAAAACUUACAGCAUGCCGCCCGUGGAUGCACUCAAAUGCAUAAUAUACUAGAUUCCAAGGACUUUUUCAUGCUCCAAAGCAUAUGCACAUAUGUAUGUACAUAUGUACAUAUAUGCAGAUGUAAACUAACACAUAACGAAACGUAUCUGCGGACUGCUCCUAUUCCCAGACAAAGGGAAAGCCACUCUCCCACCAUUGGACCC
rnacentral:lncRNA from 1 species